AUACGUAGGGGGCGAGCGUUGUCCGGAAUGAUUGGGCGUAAAGGGCGCGUAGGCGGCCCGGUAAGUCUGGAGUGAAAGUCCUGUUUUUAAGAUGGGAAUUGCUUUGGAUACUGUCGGGCUUGAGUGCAGGAGAGGUAAGUGGAAUUCCCAGUGUAGCGGUGAAAUGCGUAGAGAUUGGGAGGAACACCAGUGGCGAAGGCGACUUACUGGACUGUAACUGACGCUGAGGCGCGAAAGUGUGGGGAGCAAACAGGAUUAGAUACCCUGGUAGUCCACACUGUAAACGAUGAAUGCUAGGUGUAGGGGGUAUGACCCAUGGGUGCCGCAGCCAACGCAAUAAGUGAUCCACCUGGGGAGUACGUUCGCAAGAAUGAAACUCAAAUGAAUUGACGGGG
rnacentral:rRNA from 1 species